UCAGAGGUAGCAUAGUUGGUAAUGCGCCAGACCUUCUAAGCCGGUGACCCAAGUUCGAGCCUUGGCCUCUGAC